rnacentral:lncRNA from 1 species
GUGGUGGUUUGGAGAAGUUCAAGGUCAGAAGGGUUGGUUCCCCAAGUCUUACGUGAAACUCAUUUCAGGGCCCAUAAGGAAGUCUACAAGCAUGGAUUCUGGUUCUUCAGAGAGUCCUGCUAGUCUAAAGCGAGUAGCCUCUCCAGCAGCCAAGCCGGUCGUUUCGGGAGAAGGGCUCUGGAACUGCUGGGAAAACAGGGAGUUUAGGAAAAAAACCUGGUCCCUCCUGUAACGUGAAAUAAAAAGAAAGAAAUUUGCCCUGCCAUGAUUUGCACCUGAUAUUCAGGGAUCACUCUCAAAAUAAAUUGCCCAGGUUAUUGCCUCAUACACCGCCACCGGCCCCGAGCAGCUCACUCUCGCCCCUGGUCAGCUGAUUUUGAUCCGAAAAAAGAACCCAGGUGGAUGGUGGGAAGGAGAGCUGCAAGCACGUGGGAAAAAGCGCCAGAUAGGCUGGUUCCCAGCUAAUUAUGUAAAGCUUCUAAGCCCUGGGACGAGCAAAAUCACUCCAACAGAG